GGGGACAUAGUUUAAUUGGUAAAACUGCGAUUUUGCGUAUCGCUAUUUCAGGAUCGAGUCCUGGUGUCUCCA
rnacentral:tRNA from 1 species